rnacentral:rRNA from 1 species
AUUGAACGCUGGCGGCAUGCCUAACACAUGCAAGUCGAACGGCAGCACGACCUAGCUUGCUAGGUUGGUGGCGAGUGGCGCACGGGUGAGUAAUGCGUAGGAAUAUACCUUAAAGUGGGGGACAACCUGGGGAAACUCAGGCUAAUACCGCAUGAGCUCUAAGGAGGAAAGCUGGGGACCCUUCGGGGCCUGGCGCUUUAAGAAUAGCUUACGUCCGAUUAGUUAGUUGGUGGGGGAAAGGCUUACCAAGACGAUGAUCGGUAGCUGGUCUGUGCGGAUGAGCAGACACACUCGGACGGAGACACGGCCCAGAGUGCGAGUGGAGGCAGCAGGGGGGAAUUUUGGACAGUGGGGCAAACCCUGAUCCAGCGAUGCCGCGUGGGUGAAGAAGGCCUACGGGUUGUAAAGCACUUUCGGUGGGGAGGAGGACUUAUAGGUUAAGAGCUAAUGAGUUGGACGUUACCCACAUAAGAAGCACCGGCUAACUCCGUGCCAGCCGCCGCCGCGG